GAUGAACGCUGGCGGCGUGCCUAAUACAUGCAAGUCGAGCGAACAGACGAGAAGCUUGCUCUUCUGACGUUAGCGGCGGACGGGUGAGUAACACGUGGAUAACCUACCUAUAAGACUGGGAUAACUUCGGGAAACCGGAGCUAAUACCGGAUAAUAUAUUGAACCGCAUGGUUCAAAAGUGAAAGACGGUCUUGCUGUCACUUAUAGAUGGAUCCGCGCUGCAUUAGCUAGUUGGUAAGGUAACGGCUUACCAAGGCAACGAUGCAUAGCCGACCUGAGAGGGUGAUCGGCCACACUGGAACUGAGACACGGUCCAGACUCCUACGGGAGGCAGCAGUAGGGAAUCUUCCGCAAUGGGCGAAAGCCUGACGGAGCAACGCCGCGUGAGUGAUGAAGGUCUUCGGAUCGUAAAACUCUGUUAUUAGGGAAGAACAUAUGUGUAAGUAACUGUGCACAUCUUGACGGUACCUAAUCAGAAAGCCACGGCUAACUACGUG
rnacentral:rRNA from 1 species